rnacentral:rRNA from 2 species
UUAAGCGACUAAGCGUACACGGUGGAUGCCCUGGCAGUCAGAGGCGAUGAAGGACGUGCUAAUCUGCGAUAAGCGUCGGUAAGGUGAUAUGAACCGUUAUAACCGGCGAUUUCCGAAUGGGGAAACCCAGUGUGUUUCGACACACUAUCAUUAACUGAAUCCAUAGGUUAAUGAGGCGAACCGGGGGAACUGAAACAUCUAAGUACCCCGAGGAAAAGAAAUCAACCGAGAUUCCCCCAGUAGCGGCGAGCGAACGGGGAGGAGCCCAGAGCCUGAAUCAGUGUGUGUGUUAGUGGAAGCGUCUGGAAAGGCGCGCGAUACAGGGUGACAGCCCCGUACACAAAAAUGCACAUGCUGUGAGCUCGAUGAGUAGGGCGGGACACGUGGUAUCCUGUCUGAAUAUGGGGGGACCAUCCUCCAAGGCUAAAUACUCCUGACUGACCGAUAGUGAACCAGUACCGUGAGGGAAGGGCGAAAAGAACCCCGGCGAGGGGAGUGAAAAAGAACCUGAAACCGUGUACGUACAAGCAGUGGGAGCACGCUUAGGCGUGUGACUGCGUACCUUUUGUAUAAUGGGUCAGCGACUUAUAUUCUGUAGCAAGGUUAACCGAAUAGGGGAGCCGAAGGGAAACCGAGUCUUAACUGGGCGUUAAGUUGCAGGGUAUAGACCCGAAACCCGGUGAUCUAGCCAUGGGCAGGUUGAAGGUUGGGUAACACUAACUGGAGGACCGAACCGACUAAUGUUGAAAAAUUAGCGGAUGACUUGUGGCUGGGGGUGAAAGGCCAAUCAAACCGGGAGAUAGCUGGUUCUCCCCGAAAGCUAUUUAGGUAGCGCCUCGUGAAUUCAUCUCCGGGGGUAGAGCACUGUUUCGGCAAGGGGGUCAUCCCGACUUACCAACCCGAUGCAAACUGCGAAUACCGGAGAAUGUUAUCACGGGAGACACACGGCGGGUGCUAACGUCCGUCGUGAAGAGGGAAACAACCCAGACCGCCAGCUAAGGUCCCAAAGUCAUGGUUAAGUGGGAAACGAUGUGGGAAGGCCCAGACAGCCAGGAUGUUGGCUUAGAAGCAGCCAUCAUUUAAAGAAAGCGUAAUAGCUCACUGGUCGAGUCGGCCUGCGCGGAAGAUGUAACGGGGCUAAACCAUGCACCGAAGCUGCGGCAGCGACGCUUAUGCGUUGUUGGGUAGGGGAGCGUUCUGUAAGCCUGUGAAGGUGUACUGUGAGGUAUGCUGGAGGUAUCAGAAGUGCGAAUGCUGACAUAAGUAACGAUAAAGCGGGUGAAAAGCCCGCUCGCCGGAAGACCAAGGGUUCCUGUCCAACGUUAAUCGGGGCAGGGUGAGUCGACCCCUAAGGCGAGGCCGAAAGGCGUAGUCGAUGGGAAACAGGUUAAUAUUCCUGUACUUGGUGUUACUGCGAAGGGGGGACGGAGAAGGCUAUGUUGGCCGGGCGACGGUUGUCCCGGUUUAAGCGCGUAGGCUGGUUUUCCAGGCAAAUCCGGAAAAUCAAGGCUGUGGCGUGAUGACGAGGCACUACAGUGCUGAAGCAACAAAUGCCCUGCUUCCAGGAAAAGCCUCUAAGCAUCAGGUAACAUCAAAUCGUACCCCAAACCGACACAGGUGGUCAGGUAGAGAAUACCAAGGCGCUUGAGAGAACUCGGGUGAAGGAACUAGGCAAAAUGGUGCCGUAACUUCGGGAGAAGGCACGCUGAUAUGUAGGUGAAGUCCCUCGCGGAUGGAGCUGAAAUCAGUCGAAGAUACCAGCUGGCUGCAACUGUUUAUUAAAAACACAGCACUGUGCAAACACGAAAGUGGACGUAUACGGUGUGACGCCUGCCCGGUGCCGGAAGGUUAAUUGAUGGGGUCAGCGCAAGCGAAGCUCUUGAUCGAAGCCCCGGUAAACGGCGGCCGUAACUAUAACGGUCCUAAGGUAGCGAAAUUCCUUGUCGGGUAAGUUCCGACCUGCACGAAUGGCGUAAUGAUGGCCAGGCUGUCUCCACCCGAGACUCAGUGAAAUUGAACUCGCUGUGAAGAUGCAGUGUACCCGCGGCAAGACGGAAAGACCCCGUGAACCUUUACUAUAGCUUGACACUGAACAUUGAGCCUUGAUGUGUAGGAUAGGUGGGAGGCUUUGAAGUGUGGACGCCAGUCUGCAUGGAGCCGACCUUGAAAUACCA